rnacentral:pre_miRNA from 2 species
GAUAUCAACUUAAAAAGUCAUCAACAACAAAGUUGAAUAACUCAUCAGGAUCUAAAACUUUUAUUUUGGUCAUUUCUUCAUACAACAAAGUGAUAGUAACAUUGUUCACAAAAUUGACAUAUCUCUUAUCUGAUUCUUUUAUAAACUAUAACACAUAUAUGUAAAAUUUGUGAAUAAUAUUACUAACAUUUUGUCGGAUGAAGAAAUAACAAAAAUAAAAGUUUUAGGUAUUGAUGAGUUAUUCAACUUUGUUGUUGAUGACUUUUUCAAUUGAAAUC